UCCAGAUGAAGAACGGCGACGGCCAUCAGGCCAUCCAGCCGAUCUCGUUCAGCCGCACCAAGUACAACGCCGAAAAGAAGCGCGUCGAUCUGGUCGAUAUCGUCAACUUCGAAGCCGAAUGCGUCAACCCGCCNNNNGUGAAGGCGAUCGACUGGAUCAAGGGCGGAAUGAAGAACGACAAGUGCAAGUAAUCUCCUGCGCUUGAUGGCCACCGGGCGGCGCGACGAUGUGAAUCUCGCGCCG
rnacentral:misc_RNA from 1 species